rnacentral:rRNA from 1 species
CCUACGGGUGGCUGCAGUGAGGAAUAUUGGUCAAUGGGCGCGAGCCUGAACCAGCCAAGUAGCGUGAAGGAUGACUGCCCUACGGGUUGUAAACUUCUUUUAUAAAGGAAUAAAGUGAGGCACGUGUGCCUUUUUGUAUGUAUUUUAUGAAUAAGGAUCGGCUAACUCCGUUCCAGCAGCCGCGGUAAUACGGAGGAUCCGAGCGUUAUCCGGAUUUAUUGGGUUUAAAGGGAGCGUAGAUGGGUUGUUAAGUCAGGUGUGAAAGUUUGCGGCUCAAACGGAAAAUUGCAAUUGAUACUGGCAGCCUUGAGUACAGUUGAGGUAGGCGGAAUUCGGGGUGUAGCGGUGAAAUGCUUAGAUAUCACGAAGAACCCCGAUUGCGAAGGCAGCCUACUAAACUGCCAAUGACAUUGAGGCUCGAAAGUGUGGGUAUCAAACAGGAUUAGAUACCCGAGUAGUC